ensembl:snRNA U7 U7 small nuclear RNA
UAGUGUUACAGCUCUUUUAGAAUUUGUCUAGCAGGUUUUCCAGUUCCUGUCAACAAUAGCCAAA